UUACAAUCAUUUAGUACAAUCUGCGAUAUCUGGGCAUCCACAUUCGCCAAAAAAUGUGCGGCUAAAACCCCCCGCGAACCGCAAAGCGGCGGCGAAACAGUCGGACAAAAGCGACAUAAAGAAACGAAGCGAGAAGCAGACGGGCGAAUUAAACAAGUUUCGUUUGCGUGGAACGCAGAAUUGCGUGGAAAGAAAGCCAGCGAAGUCGAAGAAGAAGCAGAGCAACAAUAAUGCAGUAAUGUUUAAUGUUUAAACAAAUUCGCCAAGGAGUUUCGUUCUUUUUUCCGAAUCGUCAUCCGUGAGUGCGUGUAUGAGUGUCGUGUGUGUGUUUGUGUGCAUGUUGUGAAGUGGAAAGAGUGGAAACAAAAUGAGAGUGUGCAAAUGAAGUUGGCCAAGCCCAAAACAGCGAGAAUUAAUUAAAGCGACUAAGAAAAGUGGCCGUCGCCCAAAGGAUUAAUCACGCCCAGGGGUCACCCACCCACACCGCCAUCCAACCAACCAACCAAACAAAAACUCGGUGAAAAGAGUGUGAACCGAUCGGCAGCAGGACGCCGAAGGACCUAAAAUGAGCGAGGAACUGAAAGUGGUGCUGCGGCGCAGCGAGCAGCAUUCCGGUUUCGGGUUUUCGCUACUCGGAACCACCGGACCGCCACAUGUCAUCUACGACAUCGUCGAGAAUUCGCCGGCAGCCGAUUGCGGAGCGGUUGAGGCCGGGGAUGUCAUCCUCAAAGUCAACGGAACGGAUGUCCAUCGCUACACAACGAAGGAAGUUCUCAAAUGCCUGCGCCUGUCGGAACAGCUGGUGACCUUGGAGCUGAAGCGAGAUCCCAAGCUUAAGGCGCGGAUCAAAGAGCAGCUGGCCAACACCCAGAGUCCGCACUAUGUGGACAUUGAGUCACCGAACAUCUACGACUACCACAGCAGCAGCACCAACUCCUCGCCAAAUCACCGGCCAAACGCUGGUGGCAAGGGGGCGGCGACCACGCCCUCGCAGAGCGGACUGCGCUACAAGUCACCGACGCACUUGCCCUCGCUGCGCCAGAAUUCGUCGCCACUGCUGGCGAGUGGAUCCACCACGACCACAACCACCGCCACGCAUACACACAGCCACAGUCGAAACUCCUCGGCCAGCUCCACCAAGAUCAAGGUGGUGGAGACGAGCAUCACCACCUCGACCACGAACGUAGUGGGCCUCACAUCGCCCACGGGUAGUGUUGGUGGUGGUAUUGGUGGGGAGGCCACCUCACCCACCUUCCGCCCGUCACGCAUUCCACAGGCGCUCACCAAAUGUGCCGUACCCAAGCCCGUGCCCGUUCUCCAUUCGCCGCAGAAUAAGCGGCCACGCCCUUCGCAGAUUCCGACAAAGGCGGCGAACGGAAACGGGAACGGACAUACCGCCCAUCUGCCACCGCAAUCGCUGCAGCACUCCAACAGCUACAGCGGCAGUCCGGUGACCCGGCAGCGGUUUGCCGAUAGGGAGCCGGAGCGGGAACCGGAACCCAAUUCGGCGCCACCGCAGCCGGCGAAGGCUCCACGCUUUGAGGCUUACAUGAUGACCGGUGACCUUAUUCUUAAUCUGUCCCGGACACCGCAGACCAGCAAUCCGCUUCCCGCCCAGGCCAAAAAGAUUGACAGCCUUCGCGAUUCACCCAGUCGUUUGGUUAAUCCGCGUAUCAACGGCGCACUAGCACCGCGUGCCUCUGGUGAAUCCUCGCCCACGUCCUCCUCUUCGGUGGACUCGCCCACCAACACCAGCUCAGAUUCCGUGAAGCGCGAGGCGAAGCUGCUGCAGAAGCAACAGCAGCAGCAGCAGCAAACCUAUCAACAGCAACAGCAGCGGGACAGCAUCAACAACAGCUACAAUCGUAAGGAUUCGCUGACCAACGAUACGCUGCUAAUGUGCGAGGAGUUGGAGCCUGACGAGGAGGCCGAGUAUGUCCUGGAAGAGGACAACAAACAGCAGCGGCACCGCCAACAGCAACAACGAUACCGUCAGCAGCAGAAUCAGCAACGCUACGAAUACUACCAAAACGAGGACGAGCUGGAGGAGCAGGAGGAGGUUGAGGAGGAGCGCGAGGAGGAUCAAACUCACUACGACAUCACCAAUAUCGAAACCUAUCAAAGCGGUGUGGGUCGGGGUGACGACGAUGACAGUGAUCGGCAGUGCCUGGUAGACGACGACGAUGAUGAUGAUGCCUACGAUGAUGAGGAGAACGAUGCGGGCGACGAGGACUACUCCACCAACUCGCUGGGCUCCGGUUCAGCCAAGCAACGAUUGCGGGCGUUGAAACAGCGCACUGCCACCCGCCAGCAGCAGCGAAAUCGGGAUGCCGUCGACUGUGCAGGUCGCUCCGGAUCGGGAUCUUCAUCUACCACGGUCAAGAGCGAGGCUGGCGGUCUGGGCCUAGAUGAAACCUCCUUCUCAGUGCCAACCUCUCCGAUCUCGUUGUCGACGCCGCUGAUCGACAAAGAGACGGCCAACUCGGUGCCCACGAGCCCGGAACCCAGUUCGCUUGUUCCGGAGUCGAGCAGUGGCGCUGGCGCCGGAGCCGUGGUGGUGCGCCGGCACAACGGACAUGUGGUGCGGAAGUGUGAUGCCGCCGGUUUCCGCACCAGCAAGUCCGAGGACCAUCUGCAGCAGAUCCAGCGCGAGGGCAUCGCCGCCGUGAUACCCAUCGACAUUGAUGAGGAUGUGAAUAGUUCGCUGAACACGCUGCUGGACACGCGUCAGGACUCCGAGGACUCGCAGUCGAUGGCCACUGUAAUUGUAAACAACUCGUCAUUGGCCUCGAACAACAACGAGGGCGAGCAGACCGACAACCGCAGCAGCAGCAGCAGCAACUCCAGCGACAACAAUAACUGCAGCAGCAACACCGGCGAACCAGCAACGAGUGAAACUGCAACGGCAACUGCAACAAUCAUGACUGCAACAUCAACGAGAACGAUGAACUGCAGCAGCAAAUUAAACUAUAUUUUAUGCAAAAAGGCAUCGGAUCGCGAUCGGAUCGUGUGGACUUAUAAUGCGCCACUCCAACCGCAUCAAUUGGCGGCUCUCCAGCGACAGCAGCAACAGCAAGAGCAGCAAUUCCAACAGCAGCAGCAGCAGCUCCACCAGCAACAUCUGCAGCAACAGCAGCAGCUUCAGCAGCAACAUCAGCAGCAGCAACAACAGCAUCAGCAGCAGCAGCAGCAACUCUACGGUCAGCAAUCGCAUUCAAAUUCACAUUCAAGUUCCAUUAGUUCGUCGCCCCAGCACUCGGCUGUGGGCAGUCCGGCCUCGCCCACGUCGGUUUCCUCGUCGGUGAUGUCCUCGUCGGGCUCCAAGGGCGCCCUGGGCCUGGGCAGCAGCAGCAAUGGUCCGAUGGCCGCCGUGCAGCAACAACAGCUGAGAGAGAGGGAGCAGGGCGGCCAGGUCGCGCAACCGCCUAGCGGGAUUCCUGGCUUGCUUAGCUGCCCAGGUGGUGGGUCCGGAAACAAUGGUGGUGGUGGAGGCAUUGGUGGUGGUGGCAACAACGAUCAGAGCGUCUCAGAGGCCAUUUCGAAUAUAUCUAGUCCCGACUACCAAGACGACGAUAAUUUAUUGAGUUCUCGCGAUAUUCUAGGCGGCAUGGUACUUAGCGAUCCCAGUGAUUCGGACUCCACCAUCCUCGUCUCGGACGCGGCCGCGCAGCAGCGCCAGCAGCUCAAACAGCAGUUGCGCGCCCAGCAGCAACAGCAGAGAGAAAGGGAACGGGAUAGGGAUCGAGACAGGGAACAGUCCGAGCACAAGGUGGUCAUCCAAGUGCGCGGACUGGACAGCAACAGCAGCGGCGGCAACGGAACUAACGGCCGCUCCGAGGAGGAUGUGGUCACGCUGACGGACGAGCCGCUGGGCACGAUGACCGUUGGCAUGAGGGAUGCUUCGCCGCCAGUCUCUGACGAUGGCAGCGAUGUGGAGUCCCUCCACUCGUAUCACUACUCGCCCAAGGCCGUGGACAUGCCCUCGGCCAUACGCCUGGCCAAAAGACUGCACUCCCUCGACGGUUUCAAAAAGAGCGAUGUGUCGCGACACCUCAGCAAGAACAAUGACUUUAGUCGAGCGGUGGCCGAUGAGUAUCUCAAGCAUUUUACCUUUGAGAAGAAGUCACUUGACCAAGCGCUGCGUGAGUUCUUGCAGCAGUUCUCCCUGUCCGGCGAAACGCAGGAACGGGAACGGGUGCUAGUGCACUUCUCCAAGCGCUUCCUCGACUGCAAUCCUGGCACCUUUAACUCGCAGGACGCCGUGCACACGCUGACCUGUGCCAUAAUGUUGCUGAAUACGGACUUGCACGGCCAGAACAUAAAUCGCAAGAUGAGCUGUGCGGAAUUCGUCGACAACCUGGCAGAUCUCAACGAUGGCGAGAACUUUCCCAAGGAUGUGCUCAAGUCGCUUUACCAGGCCAUUAAGACCAAGCCGCUUGAAUGGGCACUAGAUGAAGAGGCAGGUGAUCUGCAGCAGCAAAGAGCCAACAAUAGUGCCCUGGGCAAUGUGGGCCACAAUCCCUUCCUCGAUCCCCCGGAAAUGGCCACGGCUGUGGAAUACAAAAAAGGCUAUGUGAUGCGUAAAUGCUGCUAUGACAGCAGCUUUAAGAAGACUCCCUUUGGCAAACGCUCCUGGAAGAUGUUCUACUGCACGCUGCGUGAUCUUGUGCUGUAUUUGCAUAAGGAUGAGCACGGUUUUCGUAAAAGUCAAAUGUCCGACAAUCUGCACAAUGCAAUACGCAUACAUCACGCACUGGCCACCAAGGCCAACGACUACACCAAGAAGCAACAUGUGUUCCGGCUGCAGACGGCCGACCAGGCCGAGUAUCUGUUCCAGACCAGCGACUCCAAGGAGCUGCAGUCGUGGGUGGAGACGAUCAAUUACGUGUGCGCCGCUAUAUCAGCGCCUCCGCUCGAGGGUGGGGUGGGCAGUCAGAAACGAUUCCAGCGACCGCUCCUGCCCAGCAAACAAUCCAAGCUGAUGCUGAAGGAGCAGUUGGAUUCGCACGAGGUGCAGCUGGCGCAGUUGGAUCAGGAGCUUAACGAGCACAAGAAGGGUCCUAUUCCCAGCAAGGGCUUGGCUCUGCAGAACUACAAGGAAAAGGAAAGCUACUUGCAGUAUGAACUUCGUCGCUACCGCACCUAUGUGAGCAUUCUGAGCGCCAAGAUGCUGGCUGAUCAGCAGCAGCUGGAGCUGCAGGCGCAGCAUCCGUCUCCAGCGUCGCACGAGGAAGAGGCCGACACAUUCCCAGUGGGCACCACCGCCUGCACGCCACCCACGCCGCAAAGUAUUAACCAGAAGGAUCAGCAGAAGGAGCAGCAGCAACAGCCAACGAACAGAAAAGAGAAGAAAAAGAAAUAAUUACGUUUUAUUUCGCUCUUGAUUUCGAUCAUUUCAAAACUCGCAUACCAACACACACACCUACAUCACAAUCCCCGCCUCCUGGCUAUCGCAGGCGAUUGAACGAAUUUGAAUAGAAUACUCCAAAAUGCCACGCUGCCUCCGAAGGGAACACAAACAGAUCAGAUCCACAGAACCACUCACUCACUCGCAUACUCAGCACCACUCACGCCACGCCACGGCACCACCCACCCACUUACACUCAAGCGUUGCGGCUGUGCCGUGUCUGCCACUGAAGAAAUUCGGAAUUCGUGCACUUUCAAUCAGUUAAAACCCCAUCGGGGGUUACGAGGAAGAGAUCAUUUGAGACAAUUAGACUACCAACGCGAUAAUUAACGAGGAAGAAUUUUACGUUUGAAGGUCGUUCAUCAGAAGACAUCGGCAUAAUCUCGGCAACCAGAGGAUUAUCUCGAAUUCGAGCAGUUGAUUUUAUAUGUACCAUGCUACUUAUCCCGAAUGAGGGUAUUCGAGAUCGGUUUCACCUGAUUUCAAGCUACACAGUCAAAUCGUUUCGAAUUUGAAUUAUCGUUCAUAUUUGCUCCGCCAAAGAUUCUGCUGGACGGCUGUUUAGGAACGAGAAUGAAAACUGCUUAUACACAUAGACUUAUUAUUACAAGAGUUGAUAAACAAUACUUACAUCAUUACCUAUGCUAUCAUUAUAAAUGAUAAAAAUAAAUUAUUAAUUAAUGAACAAUAUCUCUACACAACCACAAGAUGGAGAACAUCGGCAGUAACAAUAACGAAAUGAGAAUUGAGAAGAGGACAAGCGCAUUAGCAUUAAUCCUAAGCAAUUACUACCAUACCGUGUACAACUUGUUUUUGGUCUUUUGCGAUACAUUAUCACAUUAACUGUUUAGGAACACUUACUCCAAUAUUAUGUACGGAUUAAUAUAUUUAUUUAAACAACUAUCGGUUGAUUACGCGACAUGUCCAUGUAGCUAGAAUAUGAAAUUAAAUAUCCAUUACGGGGUAAAGAGAGAUGGAGGAAACAAUAAAUUUAAAUGCAUCAUAUAUUUUUGAAUAUAUUAUGAUUAUUGUAUUGUGUAAUUAUGUAAAUGCAGAUUAUAUAACAUUGUUUAUAAUAAUUUUUAACAAUUCUACUGAAACGGCAAUAAAUUCGAAAAUACAAACUAACUAAAAGUGAAAGCAACUUGCCUGCUGCAAACCAAGCGCCUAAAUGUAUGCAUAUUGUAUAUUUAUUUAGUCAAACAUUUUAACUGGCUUACGAGGGCAUCACUUAGUUUCUAAAGCAAUACAUUUUCGAUAACAAUUCAUUUAAGACAACUUGCCAACUUGUGGCGAGAAGGGAAACAAGAAGACGAACGUGGAGACGGUGAUUUUUAUGUGAACAUUUAUUAAUAACUGAUAAGCUUUGAGUAAACUUAGGAAAGCCGUUAUACUAUGCAUAUACACCCAUAUAUAUAUUAAUAUAUAUAUGAACUAUAUAUAGUAUAUAUGAAUGAAUGCUCGUGUGAGCAACCAAACAAUUACGAUAUGAAUCAUUAAAUACUUCCGAAAGCAUUAAA
rnacentral:misc_RNA from 1 species